UACAGAGGUCUCAACCGUUGUUCGGAUUCAUUGGGCGUAAAGGGUGCGUAGGCGGUCGCGCAAGUCGGAUGUGAAUCUCAGGGCUCAACCCUGAAACUGCAUUCGAUACUGCGUGGCUAGAGUGCUGGAGGGGAGACUGGAAUUUACGGUGUAGCAGUGAAAUGCGUAGAUAUCUGGAGGAACACCGGUGGCGAAGGCGGCAUCCUGGACCGGCAUUGACGCUGAGGCGCGAAAGCUAGGGGAGCAAACGGG
rnacentral:rRNA from 1 species